rnacentral:rRNA from 1 species
AUUGAACGCUGGCGGCAUGCCUUACACAUGCAAGUCGAACGGCAGCACGGGAGCAAUCCUGGUGGCGAGUGGCGAACGGGUGAGUAAUAUAUCGGAACGUGCCCAGUCGUGGGGGAUAACGCAGCGAAAGCUGUGCUAAUACCGCAUACGAUCCACGGAUGAAAGCGGGGGAUCGCAAGACCUCGCGCGAUUGGAGCGGCCGAGAUCAGAUUAGCUAGUUGGUGAGGUAAAGGCUCACCAAGGCGACGAUCUGUAGCUGGUCUGAGAGGACGACCAGCCACACUGGAACUGAGACACGGUCCAGACUCCUACGGGAGGCAGCAGUGGGGAAUUUUGGACAAUGGGCGAAAGCCUGAUCCAGCAAUGCCGCGUGCAGGAUGAAGGCCUUCGGGUUGUAAACUGCUUUUGUACGGAACGAAACGGUGAGCUCUAAUACAGUUUGCUAAUGACGGUACCGUAAGAAUAAGCACCGGCUAACUACGUGCCAGCAGCCGCCGCCGUAA